rnacentral:rRNA from 1 species
GACGAACGCUGGCGGCGUGCCUAAUACAUGCAAGUCGAGCGAAUCUUUUGGGAGCUUGCUCCCUUAAGAUUAGCGGCGGACGGGUGAGUAACACGUGGGUAACCUGCCUGUAAGACUGGGAUAACUUCGGGAAACCGGAGCUAAUACCGGAUACUUUCUUUUCUCGCAUGAGGGAAGAUGGAAAGAUGGUUCUGCUAUCACUUACAGAUGGACCCGCGGCGCAUUAGCUAGUUGGUGGGGUAACGGAUAACCAAGGCAACGAUGCGUAGCCGACCUGAGAGGGUGAUCGGCCACACUGGGACUGAGACACGGCCCAGACUCCUACGGGAGGCAGCAGUAGGGAAUCUUCCGCAAUGGACGAAAGUCUGACGGAGCAACGCCGCGUGAGCGAAGAAGGCCUUCGGGUCGUAAAGCUCUGUUGUUAGGGAAGAACAAGUACGAGAGUAACUGCUCGUACCUUGACGGUACCUAACCAGAAAGCCACGGCUAACUACGUGCCAGCAGCCGCAGUAACAC